UUCGCUGUUGCAAAGUCCCUCGAUAAUUCAUCAUAAACUAAAGGAACACAGGUCAGAUUCGGAUAACAACUUCAAAGUCAUUUGCAGAAUAGGCUAAACAAUUGGACGACGGAUACACUGGAUGAUAAUGUAGAUGGUCCAGGAUUAUCAGGGAAGGAUACUACAGGUGCUGAACACAGAAAACCGUUUACAAGAAAACAACUGGAGUUUGUGAAAGCUUCAAGGAAUUAAUCCUGCUGGGUACCCAUUCACUUCACCUUGCUCGAGUGCAGCACAGUGUGGAUAAAUGUGUUGCUGAAGGAAAACACCAUUGCUAGGAUUUGAACCCAUGACCCUCUGUUUGAAAGGUGAGAGACAGAACCACUUGAUCACGACGCACCCACAAGUUACAAGCUGAUGUCAUAUCCCCACUUGUUCUUUUGUAUUUUAUAACAAGAAGUCUUGUUUAUUCACAUUUUGACCUCCAAGAACUAAAUAGUGGAGUGAAAAUGUAUUUAAUGUGAACAUAUGCAUUGCUGGAAAUCACUUCAUGAUAUGUGGGACAAAUCAUACACACGUGUAUGAAAAUAUGAAAUGAUUAUGAUUUCAUUUUAUUACAUAAGCCUAACAAAUAUUCCUGACGAUCGUGUGCACAUUCCAGUAAUAUUUCCCAAAAUGUUGCUAAACUUUCAAAUUAAAGACUUCGUUAUCAGAUUUUAAUGAAAUUGUCAACAUUAUGCUUUUCUGAUUCAUUCUCUUCCUACCUAAAUCUCCCAUUUUCUCAUGCUUUCUUUCUAUGGUCCCCUUCAUUCUCCUUGUCACUAUGUUAUAGGUAAAAUGUAACCGGUCGUCUAACACAUUUGAUUGAAGGGUUAGGUACUCUACUCUAGGUACUCACAUUUAAAAGUUAUGUGAUUCAAACACACAAAGUGUACUUUAGACAAAAAAAAACACAGAAAAUUUCAGCAAAAUUGAAUGAGUAUUAACGAAGUUAUGACGAAUUUAUGUUGUUAAUUUUUUGGUAAAACUGUUCUCUGCAUGUCCUCAUUAAUAUACAAGAUCCCAAUUUAUAUAUUUUUUUGUAUUAUAUGAAUUCAAAUUUUGUCAGCUAGGUUGUAAGAAUUUACGAUUGACUACUGAUUUACUGUGUAAGACAAUAAUCUUAUUAUUUCUCACACAUAGAUAAGUAUUUCAUCUGAUUCAACACAACAAAAAAGAAAUAAGUGUAUCUUGUAU